rnacentral:rRNA from 1 species
GUUGAACGCUGGCGGCAUGCCUUACACAAGCAAGUCGAACGGCAGCAUGGAGAGCUUGCUCUCUGAUGGCGAGUGGCGAACGGGUGAGUAAUGCAUCGGAACGUACCGUGUAAUGGGGGAUAACGUAGCGAAAGUUACGCUAAUACCGCAUACGACCUGAGGGUGAAAGCAGGGGAUCGCAAGACCUUGCGUUAUACGAGCGGCCGAUGUCAGAUUAGCUAGUUGGGGAGGGAAAGGCUCACCAAGGCGACGGUCUGUAGCGGGUCUGAGAGGAUGAUCAGCCACGCUGGGCCUGAGACACGGCCCAGACUCCUACGGGGGGCAGCAGUGGGGAAUUUUGGACAAUGGGGGCAACCCUGAUCCAGCCAUGCCGCGUGAGUGAAGAAGGCCUUCGGGUUGUAAAGCUCUUUCGGCCGGGAAGAAAUCGCACAGGCUAAUACUCUGUGUGGAUGACGGUACCGGCAUAAGAAGCACCGGCUAACUACGUGCCAGCCGCCGCCGUAA